UCCUCUUUAAAGUUCACUCAUGCGAUAGCCAAACUAUUUUCUCUCAACUCACGCACUUCCUCUUUUCCGUUCCAACGCCCGGACUGAACUUCAAGAGCGAGCAGUCCGACAGAUUCGCGCAGCCAACCAUUCCAGAUUUCAUACGAAAUUCCUAAAGGUUGGCUGGCCGGUGCUGACGGGACGGAGCUGAGGCUAGAGUUAAAUUCCUAUGUUAGACUUCCGCUGUAGCAAUUACUCAUAUCAGUCUUUUGUUUUCCCAACUUAAGAUCUUUAUGUUAAAUUUCAAAUGAUAUACCUGACCGAGCUUAGACUCUUUACUAUUAAAUUUAUGCCAAUGAAUGUCGGUUGUCAGAAGCAUGAAACAAAA